rnacentral:rRNA from 1 species
CCGACGGGUGAGUAACACGUAUCCAACCUGCCGUCUACUCUUGGACAGCCUUCUGAAGGAAGAUUAAUACAAGAUGGCAUCAUGAGUUCACAUGUUCACAUGAUUAAAGGUAUUCCGGUAGACGAUGGGGAUGCGUUCCAUUAGAUAGUAGGCGGGGUAACGGCCCACCUAGUCAACGAUGGAUAGGGGUUCUGAGAGGAAGGUCCCCCACAUUGGAACUGAGACACGGUCCAA